CGAACGCUGGCGGCAGGCUUAACACAUGCAAGUCGAGCGAGAUCUUCGGAUCUAGCGGCGGACGGGUGAGUAACGCGUGGGAACGUGCCCUUUGCUACGGAAUAGUCCCGGGAAACUGGGUUUAAUACCAUAUACGCCCUUCGGGGGAAAGAUUUAUCGGCAAAGGAUCGGCCCGCGUUGGAUUAGGUAGUUGGUGGGGUAAUGGCCUACCAAGCCGACGAUCCAUAGCUGGUUUGAGAGGAUGAUCAGCCACACUGGGACUGAGACACGGCCCAGACUCCUACGGGAGGCAGCAGUGGGGAAUCUUAGACAAUGGGGGCAACCCUGAUCUAGCCAUGCCGCGUGAGUGAUGAAGGCCUUAGGGUUGUAAAGCUCUUUC
rnacentral:rRNA from 1 species